CGCGCCGUUUGCGUCGCCGGCCUCGCCGCGCGUUGCCGAACCCCGUCCACCGCUCCGCUUCUGCAAUAAACCACCCGGGCGCCGGUUUCACCGUGCACCCGAGCCACAGCCGCCUCUCGUCUCCUCCAGUCGCUCGCCACCGCCACUCGCGUCGCUGCCACGCUGCGCCACCACCGUCGAAAGCUUCGUCGUGCCUCGCCGCACCCCGGCAUCCGAUUCGUUUCCCUAAAUCGCCACCGCAACCACCCCUCCACCGUCGACCCGAGCCACCACCUCCGUUUGUCGACUGCAGCCGCGUCGUCCCACUGCUUUGGUCGUCGCCAACCCACGUCGUCGCCUCCCUCGGCUCCGCAAGGACGAGGAGGUCCUCGGCCACCACUCCCCGUCACCCGAAUCCUGCCGGAACUCCACCUUCAUCGCACACCGGUGAGCACCCGCUAGUCUUCUUUCUUCCGGCCGGUGAUUCACGCCGCCGGGUGUCUCCUCGUGCCCUCCUAAUCCCGCCAUCCCCUUCCCCAGGUCCUGCUGGCGCUCGGUCGUC
rnacentral:lncRNA from 1 species